rnacentral:rRNA from 1 species
GAUCAUGGCUCGAGGACGAACGCUGGCGGCGUGCCUAACACAUGCAAGUCGAACGGAGUUGCCCUUCGGGACAACUUAGUGGCGGACGGGUGAGUAACGCGUGAGGAACCUGCCUUUCAGAGGGGGACAACAGUUGGAAACGACUGCUAAUACCGCAUAAUGCAUAGGGGUCGCAUGAUUCUUAUGCCAAAGAUUUAUCGCUGAAAGAUGGCCUCGCGUCUGAUUAGCUAGUUGGUGAGGUAACGGCCCACCAAGGCGACGAUCAGUAGCCGGACUGAGAGGUUGAUCGGCCACAUUGGGACUGAGACACGGCCCAGACUCCUACGGGAGGCAGCAGUGGGGGAUAUUGCACAAUGGGGGAAACCCUGAUGCAGCAACGCCGCGUGAAGGAAGAAGGUCUUCGGAUUGUAAACUUUUGUCGCAAAGGAAGAUAAUGACGGUACUUUGUGAGAAAGCCACGGCUAACUACGUG